CGGGGCGUGGCGCAGUCUGGUAGCGCACCACACUGGGGGUGUGGUGGUCGUAGGUUCAAAUCCUGCCGUCCCGACCA
rnacentral:tRNA from 2 species